GCAAAUAGUGAGCCAAACCUCCCCCCAUGUAUACCCCACCCUCCGUCAAUUCGACUAUGAAACAGGGCCGUAAUAAGAUUCCGAAAAGUAGGGCGUUGGUUAAUUCUUGAAUAAAAAUAUGUAUAACAGCAAAAAUAGGUUGAACACCUGAUGCGGCUUCACUUGCUAUAGGUGCAGGGGGAGGAAUACCUGGUGCCGUUAUUUGAGGAGCAUCAGGUGGAGGAGCAGCAGUAAUUGGAAAACUAAAACCUGGUGGAGGUAUAGAAAACUGUGGAGGCAUUAUACCGGGUGGGCCAGGUGGUAAACUAGGAGGAGGUAUAAAAGGUGCAGUAGGCAUAAUAGGUGGCACA